CCUACGGGAGGCUGCAGUGGGGAAUAUUGCACAAUGGGGGAAACCCUGAUGCAGCAACGCCGCGUGAGUGAGGAAGGAUUUCGGUAUGUAAAGCACUAUCAGCAGGGAAGAGAAAAGAAGGUACAAGAAAAAGAAGAACCGGCGAAAUACGUGCCAGAAGCAGCGGUAAUAGGCAGGGGGCAAGCGUUAGCCGGAUUUACUGGGUGUAAAGGGAGCGGAGACGGAAAGGCAAGUCAGACGGGAAAGCCCCAGGCUCAACCUUGGGACUUCUUUUGAAACUGUCAACCUAGAGUACGGGAGAGGUAAGCUGAAUUCCUAGUGUAGCGGUGAAAUGCGUAGAUAUUAGGAGGAACACCAGUGGCGAAGGCGUCUUCCUGGACCGAAACUGACGUUGAGGCUCGAAAGCGUGGGGAGCAAACAGGAUUAGAUACCCUUGUAGUC
rnacentral:rRNA from 1 species